rnacentral:lncRNA from 1 species
CUUUGAUAUUAAUUCAAAAUAUGUAGCCCUGUUCAUCUUCGCAGAUUCGGGAUCAUGCCCCGACAAGCACGCUCCUGUACUUGCCGCAGUGGGAUGCCGGCGCCUGGCCCUCGACUGGAUCGGCGUGGGCUGAAUGCCCUCUACCGGGGGAAUCCAUCUUGAGCGAUCCACAGCGCGGACUGGGAGGCUUUGCCUGCCUCGCCUGCAUCUCCUUUGCAUCAAAACACAGCGGGGGACGAGGGGAGGGGGAGACCAGACUAAAUAACGCCGAAGUGCCUUCAGCAAGGGGCAGCAGGGAGGAAAUCGGUGGUGCUCCUCUCAGCUGUGCUGCUUCAGUGAGAGAAGCGGGAGAAAGCUUGUCAGGCUCCUCUCCCCUGCCACCGUAUAGGCCAGGCAUCGGCCCCAGCUUUGCUCUUCGUGUUGCCCACAGACAUGUUGCCAUGCUACCAUGUUAGGAGUUUCACCCCCAUCACAUGCAGCAGACACCAGGCUUCCUUGUGCGAGAGAGAUCUGAAGUGCUGUGCUGGGACCCCCCCUCAAGUUUAAUAACACCCUUGCUGGUUGCUGCUCAACCGGGCUAUGAAAGGCGACAAAGAUGGCGGCAGGAGAGCAGCAUGGAGCUGCCCACCUUGUCCUUCCCUGUCCUGGCCUGCUGCACUUGCAAUUCCUUUGUCCCAGCCCAGGCAACUUCAAAAGCUUUGUACCAGUCUUCUUGUUGUAUAGGAUGCAAGGGGAUCCGUCAUCUGAGAUAGCAUCCCUGCCAUGAGCCAUUUAUCGCAACAAAAGACACUGUGUUAACGACACAGCUCAUCAUCAGUCAGUCCCGGUGCAGAAGAUGUCAGAUCCACUGCUGGAGAACAAGGAUAAUUUGGACUUUGCUUUUUGAAAUGGAAAGAUGG